rnacentral:rRNA from 1 species
AAUGAACGCUGGCGGCAUGCCUAACACAUGCAAGUCGAACGAGACCAUCGGGAGUAGUGGCGCAUGGGUGUGUAGCGCGUCGGAACCUUAACUUAGGGAUGGAAUAACUCUCCGACAGGGGUGCUAAUGCCGGAUAAUGUCUACGAACCAAAGAUUUAUCGACCUGGGAUGGGCACGGGUUGGAUUAGCUUGUUGGUAAGGUAAAGGCCUACCACGGCAACGAUGCAUAGCUGGUCUGAGAGGGUGAUCAGCCACACUGGAACUGAGACACGGCCCAGACUCCUACGGGAGGCAGCAGUAGGGAAUCUUCCGCAAUGGGCGAAAGCUUGAUGGAGCAAUGCCGCGUGAGUGAUGAAGGUCUUCGGAUCGUAAAACUCUGUUAUUAGGGAAGAAAAAAUGUGUAAGUAACUAUGCACGUCUUGACGGUACCUAAACAGAAAGCCACGGCUAACUACGUG